rnacentral:rRNA from 1 species
AUUGAACGCUGGCGGCAGGCCUAACACAUGCAAGUCGAGCGGAUGAAGGGAGCUUGCUCCUGGAUUCAGCGGCGGACGGGUGAGUAAUGCCUAUGAAUCUGCCUGGUCGUGGGGGAUAACGUCCGGAAACGGGCGCUAAUACCGCAUACGCCCUGAGGGAGAAAGUGGGGGAGCUUCGGACCUCACGCUAUCAGAUGAGCCUAGGUCGGAUUAGCUAGUUGGUGGGGUAAAGGCCUACCAAGGCGACGAUCCGUAACUGGUCUGAGAGGAUGAUCAGUCACACUGGAACUGAGACACGGUCCAGACUCCUACGGGAGGAAGCAGUGGGGAAUAUUGCACAAUGGGCGAAAGCCUGAUCCAGCCAUGCCGCGUGUGUGAAGAAGGUCUUCGGAUUGUAAAGCACUUUAAGUUGGGAGGAAGGGAAGUAAGUUAAUACCUUGCUGUAUUGACGUUACCAACAGAAUAAGCACCGGCUAACUUCGUG